rnacentral:rRNA from 1 species
UGAGGAAUAUUGGACAAUGGGUGAGAGCCUGAUCCAGCCAUCCCGCGUGAAGGAAGAAGGAUCUAUGGUCUGUAAACUUCUUUUAUACAGGAAUAAACCUACCCACGUGUGGGUAGCUGAAGGUACUGUAUGAAUAAGCACCGGCUAACUCCGUGCCAGCAGCCGCGGUAAUACGGAGGGUGCAAGCGUUAUCCGGAUUCAUUGGGUUUAAAGGGUCCGUAGGUGGUUUAUUAAGUCAGUGGUGAAAUCCGACAGCUCAACUGUCGAACUGCCAUUGAUACUGAUAGACUUGAGUAAAUUUGAAGUAGCUAGAAUGUGUAGUGUAGCGGUGAAAUGCAUAGAUAUUACACAGAAUACCGAUUGCGAAGGCAGGUUACUAAGAUUUAACUGACACUGAUGGACGAAAGCGUGGGGAGCGAACA